AGUGAACGCUGGCGGCAGGCCUAACACAUGCAAGUCGAACGGCAGCGGGUCAGUAGCAAUACUGAUGCCGGCGAGUGGCGGACGGGUGAGGAAUACAUCGGAAUCUACCUUGUCGUGGGGGAUAACGUAGGGAAACUUACGCUAAUACCGCAUACGAACUAUGGUUGAAAGCGGCGGACCGCAAGGCGUCGCGCGAUUGGAUGAGCCGAUGUCCGAUUAGCUAGUUGGCGGGGUAAAGGCCCACCAAGGCGACGAUCGGUAGCUGGUCUGAGAGGAUGAUCAGCCACACUGGAACUGAGACACGGUCCAGACUCCUACGGGAGGCAGCAGUGGGGAAUAUUGGACAAAUGGGCGCAAGCCUGAUCCAGCCAUGCCGCGUGUGUGAAGAAGGCCUCGGGUUGUUAAAGGUACGAACUUUUGUUUAGGGGUAAGGAAAAAGGAACGAACCUA
rnacentral:rRNA from 1 species